AUUGAACGCUGGCGGCAGGCCUAACACAUGCAAGUCGAGCGAGAAAGGUCUUCGGACUGAGUACAGCGGCGGACGGGUGAGUAAAGCGUAGGAAUCUACCUGGUAGUGGGGGAUAACUUGGGGAAACUCAAACUAAUACCGCAUACGCCCUACGGGGAAAGCGGGGACCUUCGGGCCUCGCGCUAUCAGAUGAGCCUGCGUAGGAUUAGCUAGUUGGUGAGGUAAAGGCUCACCAAGGCGACGAUCCUUAGCUGGUCUGAGAGGAUGAUCAGCCACACUGGGACUGAGACACGGCCCAGACUCCUACGGGAGGCAGCAGUGGGGAAUAUUGCGCAAUGGGCGAAAGCCUGACGCAGCCAUGCCGCGUGUGUGAAGAAGGCCUUAGGGUUGUAAAGCACUUUCAAUUGGGAAGAAAGUUAGGUCGUUAAUAGCGGCCAGCCCUGACAUUACCUUUAGAAGAAGGACCGGCUAACUCCGUGCCAGCAGCCGCGGUAAAGUCGUACGA
rnacentral:rRNA from 1 species